ACCGAUAGUGAACCAGUACCGUGAGGGAAAGGCGAAAAGAACCCCGGCGAGGGGAGUGAAAAAGAACCUGAAACCGUGUACGUACAAGCAGUGGGAGCACGCUUAGGCGUGUGACUGCGUACCUUUUGUAUAAUGGGUCAGCGACUUAUAUUCUGUAGCAAGGUUAACCGAAUAGGGGAGCCGAAGGGAAACCGAGUCUUAACUGGGCGUUAAGUUGCAGGGUAUAGACCCGAAACCCGGUGAUCUAGCCAUGGGCAGGUUGAAGGUUGGGUAACACUAACUGGAGGACCGAACCGACUAAUGUUGAAAAAUUAGCGGAUGACUUGUGGCUGGGGGUGAAAGGCCAAUCAAACCGGGAGAUAGCUGGUUCUCCCCGAAAGCUAUUUAGGUAGCGCCUCGUGAAUUCAUCUCCGGGGGUAGAGCACUGUUUCGGCAAGGGGGUCAUCCCGACUUACCAACCCGAUGCAAACUGCGAAUACCGGAGAAUGUUAUCACGGGAGACACACGGCGGGUGCUAACGUCCGUCGUGAAGAGGGAAACAACCCAGACCGCCAGCUAAGGUCCCAAAGUCAUGGUUAAGUGGGAAACGAUGUGGGAAGGCCCAGACAGCCAGGAUGUUGGCUUAGAAGCAGCCAUCAUUUAAAGAAAGCGUAAUAGCUCACUGGUCGAGUCGGCCUGCGCGGAAGAUGUAACGGGGCUAAACCAUGCACCGAAGCUGCGGCAGCGACGCUGAUGCGUUGUUGGGUAGGGGAGCGUUCUGUAAGCCUGCGAAGGUGUGCUGUGAGGCAUGCUGGAGGUAUCAGAAGUGCGAAUGCUGACAUAAGUAACGAUAAAGCGGGUGAAAAGCCCGCUCGCCGGAAGACCAAGGGUUCCUGUCCAACGUUAAUCGGGGCAGGGUGAGUCGACCCCUAAGGCGAGGCCGAAAGGCGUAGUCGAUGGGAAACAGGUUAAUAUUCCUGUACUUGGUGUUACUGCGAAGGGGGGACGGAGAAGGCUAUGUUGGCCGGGCGACGGUUGUCCCGGUUUAAGCGUGUAGGCUGGUUUUCCAGGCAAAUCCGGAAAAUCAAGGCUGAGGCGUGAUGACGAGGCACUGCGGUGCUGAAGCAACAAAUGCCCUGCUUCCAGGAAAAGCCUCUAAGCAUCAGGUAACAUCAAAUCGUACCCCAAACCGACACAGGUGGUCAGGUAGAGAAUACCAAGGCGCUUGAGAGAACUCGGGUGAAGGAACUAGGCAAAAUGGUGCCGUAACUUCGGGAGAAGGCACGCUGAUAUGUAGGUGAAGUCCUUCGCGGAUGGAGCUGAAAUCAGUCGAAGAUACCAGCUGGCUGCAACUGUUUAUUAAAAACACAGCACUGUGCAAACACGAAAGUGGACGUAUACGGUGUGACGCCUGCCCGGUGCCGGAAGGUUAAUUGAUGGGGUUAGCGCAAGCGAAGCUCUUGAUCGAAGCCCCGGUAAACGGCGGCCGUAACUAUAACGGUCCUAAGGUAGCGAAAUUCCUUGUCGGGUAAGUUCCGACCUGCACGAAUGGCGUAAUGAUGGCCAGGCUGUCUCCACCCGAGACUCAGUGAAAUUGAACUCGCUGUGAAGAUGCAGUGUACCCGCGGCAAGACGGAAAGACCCCGUGAACCUUUACUAUAGCUUGACACUGAACAUUGAGCCUUGAUGUGUAGGAUAGGUGGGAGGCUUUGAAGUGUGGACGCCAGUCUGCAUGGAGCCGACCUUGAAAUACCACCCUUUAAUGUUUGAUGUUCUAACGUUGACCCGUAAUCCGGGUUGCGGACAGUGUCUGGUGGGUAGUUUGACUGGGGCGGUCUCCUCCUAAAGAGUAACGGAGGAGCACGAAGGUUGGCUAAUCCUGGUCGGACAUCAGGAGGUUAGUGCAAUGGCAUAAGCCAGCUUGACUGCGAGCGUGACGGCGCGAGCAGGUGCGAAAGCAGGUCAUAGUGAUCCGGUGGUUCUGAAUGGAAGGGCCAUCGCUCAACGGAUAAAAGGUACUCCGGGGAUAACAGGCUGAUACCGCCCAAGAGUUCAUAUCGACGGCGGUGUUUGGCACCUCGAUGUCGGCUCAUCACAUCCUGGGGCUGAAGUAGGUCCCAAGGGUAUGGCUGUUCGCCAUUUAAAGUGGUACGCGAGCUGGGUUUAGAACGUCGUGAGACAGUUCGGUCCCUAUCUGCCGUGGGCGCUGGAGAACUGAGGGGGGCUGCUCCUAGUACGAGAGGACCGGAGUGGACGCAUCACUGGUGUUCGGGUUGUCAUGCCAAUGGCACUGCCCGGUAGCUAAAUGCGGAAGAGAUAAGUGCUGAAAGCAUCUAAGCACGAAACUUGCC
rnacentral:rRNA from 1 species